rnacentral:rRNA from 1 species
ACGGCUCCAGUACACGUCGGUAACCUGCCCUAUGGUUCGAGCAUAACCUCGGGAAACUGAGGGUAAUUCUCGAUAGGUGAUACAGCCUGGAAUGGCUCGUCACCGAAACACGUGCCGUAGGAUGGGCCGGCGGUUGAUUAGGCUGUUGGUGGGGUAACGGCCCACCAAACCAAAGAUCAAUACGGGCCUUGAGAGAGGUAGCCCGGAGAGGGACACUGAGAUACGGGUCCCAGCCCCACGGGGUGCAGCAGGCGCGAAACCUUUACAAUGCACGAAAGUGUGAUAGGGGGAUACUCAGUGCUCCCCGCCCCCCCUGUAGGCUUUUGUCGAUCGUAAAUAGAUCGGCGAAUAAGUGGUGGGAAAGACUGGUGCCAGCCGCCGCGCCCACCCCAGCGCCACAAGUGGUUAUCACGAUUAUUGGGCCUAAAGCGUUCGUAGCCGGUUUGGUAAAUCUCUUGUGAAAUUGUUCGGCUUAACCGGACAGCGUGCAGGAGACACUGCUAGACUCGAGACCGGGAGGCGUAAGAAGUAUUCCAUGGGGACUGGUAAAAUGGGAUAAUCCAUGGAAGACUACCGAUGGCGAAGGCAUCUUACGAGAACGGAUCUGACGGUGAGGAACGAAAGCCAGGGGAGCGAACCGGAUUAGAUACCCGAGUAGUCCUGGCCGUAAACGCUGUGAACAAGGUGUCGCGUAUCUCACGAAGAUGCGCGGUGUCGAAAUGAAGAUGCUAAGUUCACCGCCUGGGAAGUACGGUCGCAAGACUGAAACUUUAAGGAAUUGGCGGGGGAGCAC